ensembl:rRNA 5S_rRNA 5S ribosomal RNA
GUCUAUGGCCAUACCACCCUGAACACGCCCGAUCUCGGAAGCUAAGCAGAGUCGGGCUUGGUUAGUACUUGGAUGGGAGAAAUACAGUAAAUUUUAAGGGGAAAACUUUAAAAGGUUUAGUAU